GCUAAGUUGCCCAGUCUGGACUUGAAUUUGCAACUUUCAGCUUCGGCUUCAGCAUCCAGAGUAGCUGGGAUCAGGGUCUGCACCACUAUGCCAAACAUGUUACUUUAUUUGUAAAUUAUACUCAUGCAUUAUUGUUCUGACCCAUUAUGCAUUUAUAAAACUUGCACAAAAAUGGAACUAGGCAGACUUACUAUACGGUUAGCAACAUUUUGAAAUGAUUUUAAUUUUUGUUCUCAAUAUGGGUACAAAAGCUUUUCUCUCAAAUAUGUCAAUGAUCAAAUUUUGUUGGUGAAAAUAAUGCAAUUGGGUAUGGUUCAUUCUUCUUUUUAAAAUAAUCCUGCUGUAAUAAUAGGCUUAGUGAGCUGAGGUUGCUUAUUUAUAUAUUUGUAUGUAAGUUGCUUAUUUUAAUAUUUGGACUUGAUGAGCAUCGUAGCUGAAGAAUACACAGCCCAAUAUGGGAGCCAGAAGGCAGAGGGCUCUCUUGUUCACCCACAGAAAAUUAUCUUUCUCUUUUAAAUUCACCAGUUAUGCAAAGAUUUUUGUUUGUUUUCAAAAUAUGAUGAAUAACUUUCCAUUAUUUGUGCUGUCAACCUGCUACUUUUGCAAAGUAUUUUUAAUAAUGUCUUCAAAAUCCACCACUUCUCUCGCUGGGAUGAUUUCUAGAUUAGAGACUCUGUUCCAAGUUUGUUGUUGUUGUUUAAAGUGUGCAGAUAUGAAAGAGUUUUUAAUUGACACAUUAUUAGCUGCUCACUCCCUUAAAAUCCCAUGCAACAAUGUAACAUUUCCUAACAGGUUUUUCAAAAUGGUCCAUUGCAUAAGAUAAAGCAGUUACUUUCUUAGGAUGAUGAACAUGUCACUUUUUCCUGAAGUGUCAGAAUGUGCGUGUAUGUGUGUGUGUGUGUGUACACAAGUGCGCACAUACGUACGUACGUUUAUGCUCACGCUUUUAAGAAUGUGCUGGGGAGCCAACAGCUGUGCCAAGAACCACUUGCUGUGGACAAAGGGCCAGCAGAUUUGGGACACUCGUUCUAGGUCUAUUUGUUUAAGCUCAAUGGGUCUUUUAAAUGUCUGUCACAUGAUCCACUGAAUUUCUGGAACAAAAGACUUUCUUCAUUCCUGGCAAAACAUUGAAAAGACCCUUGUCUGUUUAAAUGUCCAGUUUUUUGUUGCGUUGUUUGCUUUUUAAUCAAGCCAACCACUUCCUGUGGGCUGCACUUCCGGCUCAUCCUUUCCCUGCUUUGGGGGUGCAGGUAGUGAACUCCCAGUCUGAACUACCUUGGUAGUCCAAUCCUGAAUUCCUUUUUUUUUUUUUUUUAAUUCCAAGUCAAAUGUAGCUCCAGCAGCUUUGAGUUUUUCAAUAACACAUUGUUUUACCUGAAGAGAUCAUUUACAGAAGAGAAAGAACUCCUCUGGUUGUCAUUCCUUAGUGGCUCAUAAGAAAGGCAGUUCUUCAUGGACUUCAACCUUGAUACCUGACCUUUUUGGACACAGUAACAGCAUCUGUAGUUUUAUCCAGUCGAGCAAACUUCCCACUGAAAAUUUCUAAUGAACAGCCAAAUGUUCGUGAGUAUUUUCUGGGCAUUUCCAGCAGUAUUUGUUGACAAAGGAGUGCAUUUUGGUGUCUUACCAUCUCGUAUUCCAUUAUUUACUCCAUAUAAGCAUUUGCCCACUGAUACUGCCUCUUAGACACUUUUUGUUGUUGUUUGAAAAAAAAAAAAAAACCCUCAAAAGGAGUUCCCAAACAUUUUCCACUAAGUUGUUGAGAGUUCGUAAAGCCUGGGGCUGGGGUGGAGCUGGGGUACAGUGCUUGCCCACCAUGCACAAGACGAUUCCCAGCACUACAAAAAAAAAAAAAAAGUUUUGUCAAGAACUGAAUUGACAGUGAUCAGUGAUCACCACCUGUUAUGGUUUCGAUAUGAGCUGUCCCCCUGCAAAAGCUCCUGUGUGUGACAAUGCAAGAACGUUUAGAGGUGAAAUGAUGAUCGGUCAUGAGACCCUCAACCCAACCAGUGCACUAAUCCAGUCAAAUGGACACCUGGGUGGUAUCGUAGGCAGGUGGGGUGUGGCUAGAGGAGUCAUGGGGGGCCUUGGGGUAUAUAUUUUGUCCCUGGUGAGUGAAGCUUAGUCUCCCUCUGCUUCCCAGUGCUAUGUCCUCAGCUGCUUCCCUCCACCACACUCCUCCACCACGACGUUCUGCCUCAUCUUGGGCCCCGAGGAAUGGAGCCGGCCGCCUAUGGACUGAGACCUCUGAAACCCUGAGAGCCAAAUAAAGUCUCCUCCUCUAAAAUUGUUCUUGUCAGGACCCUGGGUUACAGCAGCAGAAAGAGCUGAGUAAUACACCACCCCAAGAAAUGGAAAUGGGUUGAGGGGAGGAGAGUGCGAG
rnacentral:lncRNA from 1 species